rnacentral:tRNA from 1 species
GGGGAUUUAGCUCAGUUGUAGAGCGCUUGCCUAGCAAGCGAAAGGCCCUGGCUUCAGUCCCCA